CCUACGGGCGGCAGCAGUGGGGAAUAUUGGGCAAUGGAGGAAACUCUGACCCAGCAACGCCGCGUGAAGGAUGAAGGUCUUCGGAUUGUAAACUUCUGUCGCGAGGGACGAAGAAUGACGGUACUUCGUAAGAAAGCCUCGGCAAACCACGGGCAAGCAGCCGCGGUAAUACGUAGGGGGCGAGCGUUGUUCGGAAGGACUGGGCGUAAAGGGAGUGUAGGCGGCUCUUUAAGUUAUCUGUGAAAUCCCGCGGCUCAACCGUGGAAGUGCAUAUAAAACUGGGGAGCUGGAGUGCGGGAGAGGUGAGUGGAAUUCCUGGUGUAGCAGUGGAAUGCGUAGAUAUUAGGAGGAACACCAGUGGCGAAGGCGACUAACUGGACUAUAACUGACGCUGAGGCUCGAAAGCGUGGGGAGCAAACAGGAUUAGAUACCCGGGUAGUC
rnacentral:rRNA from 1 species